GCGUCGGUAGUGCAACUGUUAAAAGCACGUGCCUCCGGAGAGGGUGAAUCGCGGGUUCGAGUCCCGCCUGACGCC